rnacentral:lncRNA from 1 species
CAGAAGUUCAGGAAUAUAUACGUAUUGUUUAUUAUCAUCCUCUUAAGCACUGAGAGUGCCCUCAAUUCCAAAUGACUUUUAACCCAUGAUUUCUCCUGUAAGACUUACAGUUAGAUACUUUAUUAGCUUUGGUGUUAGAUCAACUGUAAACAUCACCACAACUCAUAUAUUUAAAAGGUACUUAAAGCACAUAUUUAUCAUUGCUGUAAAAUGUACAAGUAUUCAUCUGAAUCUUCUAGAUAAAAAUUGAUUAUUAUGCUCAUCAUCUCUAACUGGGGGAAUCUAGAUACCAAAACUGCAUGUUAGACUGGCUAGGGUGAAAAGCUCUUUGUUCCACCACUUUCAAGCUCUAUAUACUUGGGUUCAGUUUUUUCAUCAGCAAAAUGGGAAUAUUACUACUACUUUAGGGGGGGUUGUUAGAAUUAAAUAAGACAAUAUAUCUAAAGUGUUAAGCAUAGUGCCAAUUACUAUUAGUCACAAUGACUAUUUUUAUCAUUAUUAUUAAUAAACCCAAUAUAAAGGGCUAUGUGCCACAAGAUUUAUAUAGAGUGAAAGUCAAAUGUUCUGAGGCUAUUCUACCCACCUGCCUAUCAAAUUCACCAUGCUCUGGAGGUGACUUCCAGCACCAUCUCCACCAAUCUACCACCAACAUGCUCAGGAAUUGCCAUGCCUGACUGUCAGUCCA